rnacentral:lncRNA from 1 species
CUACCCAUUAGCCUCCACUCCAGGAGCAGCUCACCAAAGGGGCUGAGUUAGAAAUAUAAGAAAAUGGACAAUCUUCAAAAUGCCCAAGAUUAAACGAACAGAAAGACUGGGAUACAGAGCUAAGCAAAAUCAUGUAAGGACUGAAAUUUUCUCCAGCCUCCCUGAGACUCAGAAAAAUCCUGGAAUCUCUAACAAGGUGACAAGAGGAAGGACCACAACUCUGAAAACACCCAUUCUGGCCCCACAGAGCUUACGUGUAGACCUGCUCUGCAUGCGACAAAUCCCAGAGCAAAAGCUGCAGAAGUUCUGUGAUAUGGCUACUCAGCUACCUAGGGCCAACCUGCAGAGACUUGGAAAUGCAGAACGAUGAGUACAUUUCUUGGCUUUUACCUAAAUAUUUAGUGUCCACUGAACACCACUGAGAAUCCAAACUACACUCAGAGCCCUUCCUCUCAUCCCACUGGCCAUUAGCAAAUGUCCAAAGAAG